UACGGGGGGAGCAAGCGUUGUUCGGAUUUACUGGGCGUAAAGGGCGCGUAGGCGGUCGUGACAAGUCACUUGUGAAAUCUCCGGGCUUAACUCGGAACGGUCAAGUGAUACUGUCGGACUAGAGUACAGAAGGGGCAACUGGAAUUCUCGGUGUAGCGGUGAAAUGCGCAGAUAUCGGGAGGAACACCAAUGGUGAAAGCAGGUAACUGGACUAUUACUGACACUCAGCUGCGAAAGCUAGGGGAGCAAACAGG
rnacentral:rRNA from 1 species